CCUACGGGGGGCAGCAGUGAGGAAUAUUGGUCAAUGGACGAGAGUCUGAACCAGCCAAGUAGCGUGAAGGAUGACUGCCCUAUGGGUUGUAAACUUCUUUUAUAAAGGAAUAAAACGAGGCACGUGUGCCUUUUUGCAUGUACUUUAUGAAUAAGGAUCGGCUAACUCCGUGCCAGCAGCCGCGGUAAUACUGAGGAUCCGAGCGUUAUCCGGAUUUGUUGGGUUGAAAGGGAGCGUAGAUGGGUUGUUAAGUCAGUUGUGAAAGUUUGCGGCUCAACCGUAAAAUUGCAAUUGAUACUGGCAGUCUUGAGUACAGUUGAGGUAGGCGGAAUUCGUGGUGUAGCGGUGAAAUGCUUAGAUAUCACGAAGAACCCCGAUUGUGAAGGCAGCUUACUAAACUGUGACUGACAUUGAUGCUCGAAAGUGUGGGUAUCAAACAGGAUUAGAUACCCGUGUAGUC
rnacentral:rRNA from 1 species